CCAUUAGUUGCCGACGACUUAGAACACAAGAACAUUUUAUUCAGGGGUCCUACACAUUAACGCCAAAUAUAUGUAUUAAAGAAGACAAAGGCAGACGGCUUGUAAUGUAGGUUAAAACAAGGGCCACUAUCACGUGAAAAGGGUUGCACAGUUUGAUAUCACAAGACUGACUGACAUUACUGUAUUCUGUUUGUAUUUCACAUACUUUUUCUGAUAUCAAUAUAAUUAUCAUAUGAUGAAAAGAUUUAAAAGAGUGUGUCAACAGAAUGCGCAGUUUUAUCUUUACUCCAUAUAGUUAUGUUCCUCACUGUGCUAUUGUGUUUACCCAGUUGAGACAUAAACCUUUAUGCGAAUGGAAGAUUUCCAGUUGAAGACCGUUUAACGCCAAAAGUUUAUUUUGUUGGAAGAGUUUCAGAGUUCAAUUUGUGUUACAUUGGAACUGCGUCACAAGCCUACCAUGCAACACCCAGACCCACAUUAAAGAAUUGAACUGAUGUAGGAGUACACUCAUGUAAUGUUGAAAACACUCUGUGUGUGGAGUAUGGGAUUCGAAGUCUAUCAUACUAGAGUCGAGUCAGCAGUGUGUUGUGUUGUGAUUGUGAACAUUAAUGUGCUGCAUAGCGGGACAGCAAGGUGGAGAAUGAUUAUUUAAGUAAUAUAACAAUUAUGUUGUAAAUCGUGUAUCUGUGGAAGUAAUACUUCAUUAAUUUGUCAUCAUAAAGUCUAUUCAUCUCAUUAAACAGUUAUAUUGUUAAUAUCUCGUUGACUGUUUAUUGCAAGCACGAAGGUGCCUGUUGAAUGUCAGGGGCCCGGGCAAACGAGCUAAGGCUGUAACACAUCCCUGACAAUUGCACACAGUCCCCCAUAACUCACCUCUUCGAACUGACAUCUUCGCAGUGACCUUGAUUGAAUAUUGACAAACCUGUUGGCUAGAUUCUCUCCCCUUUCUAUUUAAAGUCAAUGUAGAAGUACAUAGUAGUUCUAACAAAUAGUACAGUGGUUUUGCAGUACAAACUGAAUUAUAAAUUAGCUUUUGGCUUAACAGGCGAUUUUGCGAUUUUCGCAAGAAGUAGAAUAGACUAGUGACUAAUUGUACUCGCGUAGGAGGUAAUCCUCUUCUAUCUUGAAGGGACGUUUGUAAUUUCUAAGUAGAUUAGUUCUAUAGGCAUCUAGAAUCUAGAGCUUCUAUCUAGAUCUCGUAUGUAUGAGAUUCGAUGGAUCUAAUAAAGGCUUUUUUUAUUUUUCAUUUUUAGACUAACUUACUCUUUGGCGAGAGAAAAUAAUCAACAAUUAUUAAACAAAACUUUAAUAUGAUAAUUGUAUCACUUGUUUGUAAAUACGAAUCGUUUUAAUAGUUUUAGAAAUCAGUGUUAUAGAAAUUGUAUCUAGGCAAGUGCGUGUUUACGUAGGUUUGCUAUGUGUAGUUUCCAACUGGUGAUUGUGGCCUUUAAUUAUUUUUAAUUUUCUUUUGAAUUUAUAUUUGAUGUUUAUUCAAAAGUUAUUUGUUUUUUAAUCUUAGGAAAUGAAAUAUUGUUACAAGAUGA